rnacentral:rRNA from 1 species
AGGGUUUGAUCAUGGCUCAGCCUGAACGCUGGCGGCGUGGCUAAGACAUGCAAGUCGAACGGAUGUAGCAAUACAUCAGUGGCGGACGGGUCAGUAAUGAAUCGCUAAUGUACCCCGGAGCCAGGGAUAGCUGCCCGAAAGGGCAGGUAAUACCUGAUGAGACCACAGCAUCGCAUGAUGCAGUGCUCAAAGCCGCAAGGCACUCUGGGAGCAGGCGAUUUUGUAUCAGCUUGUUGGUGAGGUAACGGCUCACCAAGGCGACGACGCAUAGCCGGACUGAGAGGUUGGCCGGCGACAUUGGGACUGAGACACUGCCCAGACUCCUACGGGGGGCUGCAGUAACGAAUCUUCCGCAAUGCACGAAAGUGUGACGGAGCGACGCCGCGUGUAGGACGAAGCCCUUCGGGGUGUAAACUACUGUCAGGGGAAAGAAAGUUCUGAUCUACCCCAGAGGAAGGGACGGCUAACUCUGUGCCAGCAGCCGCGGUAAGACAGAGGUCCCAAGCGUUAGGCGGAAUCACUGGGCUUAAAGCGUGUGUAGGCGGAUUUGUAAGUACCUUGUGAAAUCCCACGGCUCAACCGUGGAACUGCUUGGUAUACUGCUUAUCUUGGGUCAUCUAGGGGCGAGCGGAACAAACGGUGGAGCGGUGAAAUGCGUAGAUAUCGUUUGGAACGCCAAUGGUGAAAACAGCUCGCUGGAGAUGUACCGACGCUGAGACACGAAAGCCAGGGGAGCGAACGGGAUUAGAUACCCCGGUAGUCCUGACUGUAAACGAUGUCCACUAGAUCGUAUGGCUCUGACGCUAUUACGGUCGAACCAAAGUGCUAAGUCGACCGCCUGGGAUUUACCGUCG